rnacentral:rRNA from 1 species
GACGAACGCUGGCGGCGUGCUUAACACAUGCAAGUCGAACGGUGAAGCGCCUUCCUUUUUGGUGGGUGUGGAUGAGUGGCGAACGGGUGAGUAACACGUGAGUAACCUGCCCCCUUCUUCUGGAUAACCGCAUGAAAGUGUGGCUAAUACGGGAUAUUCUGGGUCUGUCGCAUGAUGGGUCUGGGAAAGAUAUUGUUUCGGUGGGGGAUGGGCUCGCGGCCUAUCAGCUUGUUGGUGGGGUGAUGGCCUACCAAGGCGGUGACGGGUAGCCGGCCUGAGAGGGUGGACGGUCACACUGGGACUGAGACACGGCCCAGACUCCUACGGGAGGCAGCAGUGGGGAAUAUUGCACAAUGGGCGCAAGCCUGAUGCAGCGACGCCGCGUGAGGGAUGGAGGCCUUCAGGUUGUGAACCUCUUUCGCCAGUGAAGCAGGCCUGCCUCGUUUGUGGGUGGGUUGACGGUAGCUGGAUAAGAAGCGCCGGCUAACUACGU